CAAGAGUCUAGGAUGAAUUAAUUCAAUUUGGGAUUCUUCUCUCUGGGUGCUCUGAUCUGUAACUCAGUCUAUUGCCCUUAGUCAGUCAAUCUCCUCCUUUCUUAGCCCUCUGUUUUCUCCUUUGAUCUUUUUUUAAGAUGAUCUGAAGCUCUUCAUCAUGCAAUAUGUAUAUAUCCUGUAUCCAUCUAACCUGUAUGAUUAACUGAUUGAUACAUUCAUCUUUAC